UAGGGAAUCUUCCACAAUGGACGCAAGUCUGAUGGAGCAACGCCGCGUGAGUGAAGAAGGUCUUUGGAUCGUAAAGCUCUGUUGUUGGUGAAGAAGGAUAGAGGCAGUAACUGGUCUUUAUUUGACGGUAAUCAACCAGAAAGUCACGGCUAACUACGUGCCAGCAGCCGCGGUAAUACGUAGGUGGCAAGCGUUGUCCGGAUUUAUUGGGCGUAAAGCGAGCGCAGGCGGAAUGAUAAGUCUGAUGUGAAAGCCCACGGCUCACCGUGGA
rnacentral:rRNA from 1 species